UUUUACUGUGAUGCUUCCUCAUUAACACACCAGAGCGUGUAUACAAUUACAAAAAACAAAGCUAAGCAGGGUCGGGCCUGGUUAGUAGUUGGAUGGGAGACCACUUAGGAAGACCAGGUGCUGGAGGUG
rnacentral:rRNA from 1 species